rnacentral:rRNA from 1 species
GACGAACGCUGGCGGCGUGCUUAACACAUGCAAGUCGAACGGAAAGGCCCUGCUUUUGUGGGGUGCUCGAGUGGCGAACGGGUGAGUAACACGUGAGUAACCUGCCCUUGACUUUGGGAUAACUUCAGGAAACUGGGGCUAAUACCGGAUAGGAGCUCCUGCUGCAUGGUGGGGGUUGGAAAGUUUCGGCGGUUGGGGAUGGACUCGCGGCUUAUCAGCUUGUUGGUGGGGUAGUGGCUUACCAAGGCUUUGACGGGUAGCCGGCCUGAGAGGGUGACCGGCGACAUUGGGGCUGAGAUACGGCCCAGACUCCUACGGGAGGCAGCAGCGGGGAAUAUUGCACAAUGGGCGGAAGCCUGAGGCAGCAACGCCGCGUGCGGGAUGACGGCCUUCGGGGUGUAAACCGCUUUCGCCUGUGACGAAGCGUGAGUGACGGUAAUGGGUAAAGAAGCACCGGCUAACUACGUG